rnacentral:misc_RNA from 1 species
GUCCGUAAAGCCUUGUUCUUGAAUACAGUUGAUCCGGGCGGAUGCGGGCCAGCUGAAAUUUCCCAAUUUUUAGCAUCAUCUCUGCAAACUCCCCAGUGAACAACAACUUCCCCAGGUAGAUCAGUUUCUAAAUAAAGAAGAUUCUUGGCAGUCUUAGGACAUUUUGUAACUGAAACAGUGGCUGAGUUUUGAAUUACAACUUGUUUAGUAAUAGGCUGCUCUUCAUAGAAACCUUCUACAUGCCUAUUUUCCUGUUUUGUAUCUUUGGAUUCACUGCUGCUAUCUUGAUCUUUAGAAGGCAUUUCUUCUGAUUUAAGAAGCAUGUUAGGAAGGAAAGCCCCUGGCCAUAUAUUGAAGCCUCCAUUCACUCCAACUACACUGCCAUCAUUGAGAAUAUAGUCCACAAGAGGGACUUUAAAAUCUCUCCCUCUAUGCUGAUACCAAGCACCAGUUUCUUCAUCCUUCAAAACAAAGUUUACUGCUGCAAUU